rnacentral:rRNA from 1 species
UACGUAGGGGGCAAGCGUUGUCCGGAUUUAUUGGGCGUAAAGAGCGUGUAGGCGGCCAGGUAAGUCUGCUGUGAAAACUCGAGGCUUAACCUCGAGCUGUCGGCGGAAACCAUCUGGCUAGAGUCCGGAAGAGGAGAAUGGAAUUCCCGGUGUAGCGGUGAAAUGCGCAGAUAUCGGGAAGAACACCCGUGGCGAAGGCGGUUCUCUGGGACGGGACUGACGCUGAGACGCGAAAGCGUGGGGAGCGAACAGG